GACAGAGGGUGCAAACGUUGCUCGGAAUUACUGGGCGUAAAGCGCGUGUAGGUGGAUUGGUGUGUCAGAUGUGAAAUCCCUGGGCUCAACCCAGGAACUGCACCUGAAACUACCAGUCUUGAGUGGUGGAGAGGGAAGUGGAAUUCCUGGUGUAGAGGUGAAAUUCGUAGAUAUGACAUAGAACACCAAUUGCGAAGGCAGCUCGCUACACAUAUAUUGACUCUGAGGCACGAAAGCGUGGGGAUCAAACAGG
rnacentral:rRNA from 1 species